rnacentral:lncRNA from 1 species
UACCAUUGUUAUAAAUCACGUUUGGGUCAGCUGGAGGCUGGGAGUAUGGAUGAGAUCAAGAUUUCAGUGGGAAGAUGGUAUUGCCUGGAAGACAGGAUUCUGAAACCAGCACCAACUUUCCUUCUGCCUUCUCCUUGGUCAGUGUGGACAGACAAUCGCUGGAGAGCUUGAAAAUACAUCAAAAAUAACUGGAAUGAAAAAGAGCACCAUCAUCUUGAACACAGCUUGGAAGAGAAAGCACAGAUGGAGGAAGACAGCGUCACGCCCAUCACCUGGCUCUUUCCUCAGAGAUGGCUGCCCCCUCUUUUAUACUUUCUGUACUGAACCUAGAAACAAUACCUUUUGCCAACUCAGAUGUGACAUUGUUCUUCCAGCUUCAUUUUACUUCCCAACCCUUUACUUAAAUGUCUGAUUCCUCCUGAGUCAAAAUGAGUGUUUUCAUGGGCAGAAAAGGAGUGUAAAUGGGUGCUUGAUAAAUGUUUAUUGAAAUAAAUGGAAUAGGUCUGUGCUAAUUUUUAUUUAUUUAUUCCAAAAAUACUUAAGACUCAAGGAUGUAUUAAACAUUGCUUUUGGUGUUAGAGAUACAGCAAUGAAGAAAACAGACAAGAAUUCCAGCCUUGGCGGGUGGUUAGACACAUAAUAAGCAAUAUAAAUAAGUAACAUCUUAGACAAAGCCUGGAAAAGUUUGUAUUGAAAUGGGCCUUGGAGAGAAAUCAUUGCAAUUUUAGAUUAGGAAAUCAGGAAGACCCUUACUGAUAAUGUGACAUUUAAAUGGAGACUAGAAAGAGAUGAGGAAGUCAGCAAUGGAAUAUCUAGAAGAAAAUCCCAGGUAAGGUUAAUGGCAAGUAUCAAGGCCUUUAGGUGGAAACACCCCAGGAUGUGGAAGAACCUAAAAGACAACUCCAAGGUUUUGGAACUAAGUCAAAUGGAAUUUCCAUUUACUGAGAUGAGAGAGCUGAUUCAGGGUAGACUACAUCAGAUAUUCAACUUAGAAAAUACUUGGUUUUUAAAUGGUGAGCAGAUGUUCAAACACAG